CAGCAGCCACGGUAAAACGAAGGGUGCAAGCGUUACUCGGAAUUACUGGGCGUAAAGCGCACGUAGGCGGACUUUUAAGUCAGGGGUGAAAUCCCGGGGCCCAACCCCGGAACUGCCUUUGAUACUGGGAGUCUUGAGUUCGAGAGAGGUGAGUGGAAUUGCGAGUGUAGAGGUGAAAUUCGUAGAUAUUCGCAGGAACACCAGUGGCGAAGGCGGCUCACUGGCUCGAUACUGACGCUGAGGUGCGAAAGCGUGGGGAGCAAACAGGAUUAGAUACCCUCGUAGUCCCUGUCUCUUAUAC
rnacentral:rRNA from 1 species